CUAGGCUACAGUGAGAGAAAGAAAGAAAGAAAGAAAGAAAAAAAAAAAGAAGGAACAUAGGUGAAAGGCUUGUAAAGGACGUGCUGAGCAGACAUGCGAGUACAGUGUUCUGGAAUGGGGAACAAAUAGGAUGAAUCAGAAGACAUGAACUCCGGAUAUGAAUGAAAAGCCUGUUUGUGUCUAGCACAAUUGGAGAUAUUGUUUAGGAACAGUUCAUCCAUGUGAAACUAUGACCCUGUAAUACUGCCAAGGUCUGUGAGAGCUUUGGUUUCAUCGUGGUCUGUAUGUCUAGAACAUAAGAGCAGUGCCGGUGGAGUGUGCAAUGCUGAUAAGGACAGG